GACGAACCGUCCAAACGUUAUUCGGAAUCACUGGGCUUACAGAGUUCGUAGGCGGUCUGGAAAGUUGGGUGUGAAAUCCCUCGGCUCAACCGAGGAACUGCGCUUGAAACUACCAGACUCGAGGGAGAUAGAGGAAAGCGGAACUGAUGGUGGAGCGGUGAAAUGCGUUGAUAUCAUCAGGAACACCGGUGGCGAAGGCGGCUUUCUGGGUCUUACCUGACG
rnacentral:rRNA from 1 species